rnacentral:rRNA from 1 species
AAGGCGACGAUCAGUAGCCGACCUGAGAGGGUGAUCGGCCACAUUGGAACUGAGACACGGUCCAAACUCCUACGGGAGGCAGCAGUGGGGAAUAUUGCACAAUGGGGGAAACCCUGAUGCAGCAACGCCGCGUGAAGGAAGAAGUAUUUCGGUAUGUAAACUUCUAUCGACAGGGAAGAAACAAAUGACGGUACCUGAAUAAGAAGCACCGGCUAAAUACGUGCCAGCAGCCGCGGUAAUACGUAUGGUGCAAGCGUUAUCCGGAUUUACUGGGUGUAAAGGGUGAGUAGGCGGUCAUGCAAGUCAUAUGUGAAAUGUCAGGGCUUAACCUUGGCGCUGCAUAAGAAACUGUAUGACUAGAGUGCAGGAGAGGUAAGCGGAAUUCCUAGUGUAGCGGUGAAAUGCGUAGAUAUUAGGAAGAACACCGGUGGCGAAGGCGGCUUACUGGACUGUUACUGACGCUGAGUCACGAAAGCGUGGGGAGCAAACAGGAUUAGAUACCCUGGUAGUCC